ensembl:lncRNA
CGGAUCCCGGAUCAGCUACGCUAGUGCCGCAGGCGCCGCCUCAAAGUCACCCAAAUGUGUGUGAUACGAGAGCGGUUCUAGAGUCAGUGUGUGUGAUACAAGAGCGGUUCUAGAGUCAGUGUGUGUGAUGUGAGAGCGGUUCUAGAGUCAGUGUGUGUGAUGUGAGAGCGGUUCUAGAGUCAGAGUGUGUGAUGUGAGAGCGGUUCUAGAGUCAGUGUGUGUGAUGUGAGAGCGGUUCUACAGUCAGUUGGUUUAUGAUGUAAGAUUGGCUCUAGAGCCGGUUUGUGUGUGAUGUGAGAUGAACUUUAGCCUCAGCUUGAGUGUGGUGUGAGAUCGGUUCUAGAGUCUGUCUGGAUGUGUGUGUGUGUGUGAGACGUGAGUUUACCUUUAGCAUCGGUUAUAGACCCGUUCUGUGUGUGACAUCAGAUCGGUUCUAGAGUCAAC